rnacentral:lncRNA from 1 species
UAGUAAAUAUUAAAUAUGCAUAAUAUAUGCGAAAACCUAUGGAAUAGGCUCACGUUUUCUCUAAAGUUAACGAAAUAUGGAAAAUGUGCAUUUUAAACGUUCGAUUUUAGAUUCUGAGUUGAGCGAAGAAGCGUAUGGUUUUACAAAGAUGUUUAUUUUUAUUCUUCUGUGGCCAAAAUUUUCUACCAGAAGUCUUGUUUCGAUUUUUAAGUGCAGCACUUUUUCUGAAAGGAAACUGGACUGGACAAGUACUUUAAGGAAGUAAUUGUCCCAGGAGUUUCCCAAUAAAUGUGAAAAAUCGGGGAAAAACAUAGGAAAACCGUAGGAAAAAUGGGAAAAUAGAUACAAUAUUAAACGAACAUUAUCGAAGAAAAUGUACAACGUCUAUGUAAUUAUUUUACCGUAAUAUGACAAUUAUAUAUUGUUGACGAAGCACCACUAUCAUAUUGAACUCCGAACUCAGAAUCGUUUUGCAUGGUUAAUAACGGUUUUCAAACCCGCUGUCGUACAGAGAGAAUUUAUUUGCUCCGUCUGCCAUAAACCCUGCAGCGAAAAUAUGCAACUCCUACGUAACUCCCGAGCCCCAAUCAUUAUUAUUAUGUAUUAUUGCGAACACCGGCCGAAUCAUUAUCAACAAGUGGUUAAUCCUCUCUACUCUAUGAUGUAUAUAUAAUAAAUCCUACUGGAUUUCCAACUGCCAAUGCAGGAUUAUUGUAGCUUUGCGUUCGUUUUUUUUUUCCCCCUCCCGCUCACGUCUGAUACCGGCCAACUUCUAUUAUUGUAUAAUAUCGAAGUUUAGUAAUGUGUUUUCCUAUAACGAUAUAAUAAUACGGUUUAACGGAAAAGCAAAAGUGUCGGGAUUUCCGAGAUCCGAAAUAAUCCUUUUGCGCGAGUAUCGACACUCGUGGGUUCUUGCAGCCUCUUAAAAAUAAUCUCGGCCAAAGUUUCGCGUACGGGACGAACGUAACUUUCAAUGCGAGAACUACGCGAUAGGAAAGACACACCCGUCAAAAGCGCGCAACUUCACUUAAUUACUUGUUUUUAUAAUCUUGCCAGUCUUGUAUUAUUAUUAUUAAUAUUAUUUUUUUUUUUUUUUUUUUUUUUUUUUUUUUAGUAUUCUAUGCAGAAUGUAUACAUGCGUAGCCAAGUAUAAUAAAUGUAUAAUAAAAAAGUUAACGCUCUGUGUACACUCGCUAUAGUUCCAUUUUUUUUAAUUGAUUUACUUGAUUUUUUACUUGAUUACCGUUACAGUCAAUAAUAAGGUAUUCACAACGUUAUUGUGUCGGAUUAUAAGUGUACUUCUCGAAUAUUCUUUUUUUUACCCUCGUGACAAUGGGAAAUAAUCAAUAGGACAAAGUUCGACUUCCGUCGCGUUCACAGUCCGAAAUUUAAAUGCGAACGGCCCGUACAGUGAUUUAAAUUUUAAAAUCCGGUUUCAAACGUCUUGUCGGACCCUCGUCUGUCCGCCCGUAUGGAAAUUUCGGAUAUCUGCGUAAACGCUGAGUGUACCUGCCUAUAGACUUUUGCCCGCACGUCACAGACGCGCGCGGCACACUUCAUUCCACCAUAAUUUGUAGAUUUUCGUUAUCAUCGUAAUUAUUGCAAAAUUACUCGUACGGAUUAUAUAGAACGGGACGUUGUUACCCGCGCGUUCGCCGGUCGAAACUCGUUCAAUCGAUACGUUAGAACCGUUCGAAAUUCGAGGGGUGCAGUAGGGGGGGGGGGGGGGGGUGACCCGCUAGGUAUAUUUUCGGGGUCCCGCAGGCUUUUCAUUUUCGCCCGAGCAACGCGACGGCUCCGCGAACGAAAACGUCGGCGAAACGCG